rnacentral:rRNA from 1 species
ACGGGUGAGUAACGCGUGGGUAACCUACCCUGUACACACGGAUAACAUACCGAAAGGUAUGCUAAUACGGGAUAAUAUAUUUGAGAGGCAUCUCUUGAAUAUCAAAGGUGAGCCAGUACAGGAUGGACCCGCGUCUGAUUAGCUAGUUGGUAAGGUAACGGCUUACCAAGGCGACGAUCAGUAGCCGACCUGAGAGGGUGAUCGGCCACAUUGGAACUGAGACACGGUCCAAACUCCUACGGGAGGCAGCAGUGGGGAAUAUUGCACAAUGGGCGAAAGCCUGAUGCAGCAACGCCGCGUGAGUGAUGAAGGCCUUCGGGUCGUAAAACUCUGUCCUCAAGGAAGAUAAUGACGGUACUUGAGGAGGAAGCCCCGGCUAACUACGUGCCAGCAGCCGCGGUAAUACGUAGGGGGCUAGCGUUAUCCGGAUUUACUGGGCGUAAAGGGUGCGUAGGCGGUCUUUCAAGUCAGGAGUGAAAGGCUACGGCUCAACCGUAGUAAGCUCUUGAAACUGGGAGACUUGAGUGCAGGAGAGGAGAGUGGAAUUCCUAGUGUAGCGGUGAAAUGCGUAGAUAUUAGGAGGAACACCAGUUGCGAAGGCGGCUCUCUGGACUGUAACUGACGCUGAGGCACGAAAGCGUGGGGAGCAAACAGGAUUAGAUACCCUGGUAGUCCACGCUGUAAA